GCGAGGAUGGCGGAAUUGGUAGACGCACUGGAUUUAGGUUCCAGCGCCGCAAGGCGUGGGAGUUCGAGUCUCCCUCUUCGCACCA
rnacentral:tRNA from 6 species